AAGUUUGGCGGGAUCGGUUCCUGCAUGAUCAUUUGAGAAAAGGGAGGGUCAGUACAAAUAUCCUCACCAUAAGCGGGGGGAGCGUGGCGGAGUUCUUCGAUCCGUCGGUUCAUCUCCUGGAGCCUCCGGUCCAGGAAAUCCUCUCGACUAUGGGUCUCGAGGGUCCUCUGGCAGAAUAGAGGUAGAGAUCUUUCAGGGGUGGAAUCGUGAUCCGACUGAGGGCUCUCCACCCUCGGAUUCGUCUUUCCUGGAAAGACGGGGUGGCUGGCCCAAGUGGCCCGUCCUACCACUGAAUUCUGGUGUUUCGAUGAUGCUCUUUCCAGUC
rnacentral:lncRNA from 1 species